UUGGAGGGCAAGUCUGGUGCCAGCAGCCGCGGUAAUUCCAGCUCCAAUAGCGUAUAUUAAAGUUGUUGCAGUUAAAAAGCUCGUAGUUGAACUUCGGGGUCUACCCAUUGGUCAGGCUUAAUUGUCUGCACUGGUGAGAUGGAUCUCUACCUUCUGAGGAACUCUCAUGCCAUUUAUUUGGUGUGGUUGGAAAUCAGGACUGUUACUUUGAAAAAAUUAGAGUGUUUAAAGCAGACUAUCGUCUGAAUACAUUAGCAUGGAAUAAUGAAAUAGGACGGACUGAUUCUAUUUCGUUGGUUUCUGGGAUCACCGUAAUGAUUAAUAGGGAUAGUUGGGGGCAUUAGUAUUCAAUUGUCAGAGGUGAAAUUCUUGGAUUUAUUGAAGACUAACUACUGCGAAAGCAUUUGCCAAGGAUGUUUUCAUUAAUCAAGAACGAAAGUUAGGGGAUCGAAGACGAUUAGAUACCGUCGUAGUCUUAACCAUAAACUAUGCCGACUAGGGAUCGGACGAAGUUAAUUUUAUAAUGACGCGUUCGGCACCUUACGGGAAAC
rnacentral:rRNA from 1 species